GGUUGGGGGAACAGAUUGCACUGAUAGCUCUUACUUUGGCCUUUCUCUAAAAAAUUACAGGAACCACAUCCUCCUUGAGCCCACCUGAGACAGACAGCAUAAAGAAAUGGUGACCAAAACUAACCAAGUCUCUCUGAGAUGAUCUGCUGCCUCCACUGAGCUUGGGAACAGCAAGUGCAAACAAUUUAGAAAAGAAUGGCUUCAAACCCUACCCAGAGCCAAGUCUCUGGGCUUUAGAUGAAGAGGAGAGCAAGGUACCUCUGAAAAAUGAAUGGGGAACCCCAAAAUGAGCAAGGUUGAAAGAAAUUACAUUGGAUCACCUCCCUGCUCAAGAAGGGUCAUCCUAGAACACAUUGCACAGGAUUGUGUCCUGAUGGUUCUUGAAUAUUUUUUUACUGGAUAGCAUCGCAGUGUUGUGCUUUGCAUUUAAUGCUGAAAGUAAACAGCAAGUAGAUGAAAGUAACAAGCCAAAAUAUGAAAUUGCAUUUUUGUCCUUUUCACUGUCUUUCAAAACUAUUUUAAGUUUUAUUCUAUUAAAUAUUGUCACUGUUGCUUUCUGUUUUACUUACCAUUGUGAUGGGUUGAGAGGGCAGAUCAGACUCUGCAUCAAACCUUUGAAAUCUUUGCAUUUGGCAAGAAGCCAUUGCAAUGACUCUCAAACAAUUCAAGAACAGCCACUAGCCUGAUACACUCAGAGCACAAUGAGUGAGUUUGUGGGUGCACCCACCACUGUGCAGAUGUGCUUAGGGCUGUGUGUGUGCUUUGGGCUGUGUAGGUACCUGGUUUAUCCUGCCACAUGCAAGAAAAAGCCUGUGAUCAGGUACACCCAGAAGCUUGUACAAGAGGUGUGGACCACUGCCAGGCCUGUUCCUCUUAAAAAGUGCUUGCAAGAUAAAUAAGCAAAACUAUUAUGGUACAGAUAAUAUGGUGAUACAGAAGGGAAGACAAUGGACUUGUGGAGUCCAAGGCUGCCUUCUCUUUAAUUUGGCCACUUACCUUGUUUUUCAUUUUGCCAGUACAGAAGAGGCAGUACUGUGAUAAACAGAAAAUAAGUUUACAUUUCAUAAGGGAGCCUGAGUUCUCUAAGAACACAUUGAUUCAGCCCAGCAGAGAAUUUUACAUCUCUUCUCACUCAUGCCAUUAUCAGUCCUCCAGAGCAGUGCAUUGUUACCCUUUUGCAAUAUAGAGCACUGAUUGUUUUUGAAAUGUUGGUGCAGUUUGUCAAAGCAAUGAGGUUGUUCUCAUUUAUGAGAAGAUUUCUUUCUACAACCAGAUUAGUGCAGAAGUGCAGAGGAAGCUUUCAGAAAGCAAUAACUGAAGCUCAGUGCCUUUAAUGGGCCUGUAUUUUUUAAGAUUAGUGCACAUUACUGUCAGCAAUUUUGUACCUGAGGAAUCAUACAAUACAUUGCAGGAAAACACACUAAAGCCUUAGAGGAGAAAGGAAUAAGUGGAACUGUAAUGGUUAUUGGCUUUCUAUUGUCUAUCUUUAAGAAAAUUCCUCUUUGUGACAUCUCUAUCCCUACCAAUAUUCUCCAGCAGGCAAACUAUUUUUGUCUAUUAAUCAUAUAUGUGCUAUCAAGAUUGACUCCUUUGUUAACAAAGCAAAAAUCAAUGAAGCUGAAGUGAGGGAUAGUUUGGUUUCUAUUAGAGUUUCAGCAUGAUGCAAGAUGAGUUUUAUUUUACUAAUUAACACAUCUGAGUCUGAAAUUCUGGUGAUUUUUGCAAGGGGAGAAUUUAUUGCUUUAAUAAUCAUACUGGGUUUUCCUAUUAAAAAAGAAUAAUUUAGUCUUCCUAUGUUUCUGUGUAAAUUUCAGGGGGAAAAAUGGUGAGGUAGGAGAUGUGGCUGCUAAGUGCUGCAGGCAGGGGUGAUUAGUUUUGUACUUAUUUUUUCAAGUGGUGCAUCAUGAUAUCAAACUUGCUAAACACUCUUGAGAGCAGGAGACAGGGAAAAAAGGCUUGUAAACCCACUCACAUACUUGAAAUUAUAUUGUCAAAGUUUCCAGCCUUUGGAGUCCCUGAAAAUGAUAGAAUAUUAUUGGGAAAUUAUCUUGACUGUUUUCUACAGGCCUUCAGAUACUAUAAAUUACCAUCUUCCUACAGUAGUAGCAGUUUAUAUCACUUUAGGGUUUGUUCUCUGCUGUAAACCAAACCACCAGACUUCUCAGUUCAAGCAACUUGCUAUUUAAAGGUUGGGUCUAAAGUAGUGGUCACAAUAUGAACAAUCCCUAUUUAAUUCAAGCUCUGUGUGUGUGUUCACUCAUCAGAAAACCUGAAAUCACUUAAGGCUUCUCUUCUUUCUGACCAGUAACACCACCAGACAAUUAUUCCUGAAGAGAGAUCCCUCAAGGGGAGGCUGACAUCUGUGCCAUGUAUUGACUGCUCUGUUAGGAGCCUACUGUUAUAUGCAGCCCAUGUCUGAUCAGAUUUCAUGUGCCUUGAAAUCCAGACAACCUGGAAUGGGACACUCUUAGGCAGUUAAAUGACAUCAAAUAUUUAAACAUAGAGUUUGACAGCAUCCAUUAGGUCUCUGAAAGAAUCUCUCCUUGCUAUCAGAAGUAACCACACAGCUUAAAAAUUGCAUGAUUUUUACAAUCAGUAGCACUUUCUACUUCCUAUGUCCUCCAAGAAUAAUUUUUCAUGGUAGUUUCCAAUGUAUCCACAAUACAGCCAGCAUUUUCCAUGAAAGUUUCUAAUUCUAUUUCCACUGAAGGCAAUGUCACCAAAAUUAGUUUUGUACUAAUUUGAAGAGAGGAAAGAAAGGAGAAGGGAUCAAAUAAUUUGUAGUACAGAGAUUUUGAACAAACCUGGAUGAAGCAAAUAAAAAAUUAUAUCAAUUUUUCACUAGAAUUUGAGUGCAUCAAAUUCUAAAAAUUUGCAAAAUACUUUAUUGCAAGGCCUCUUUGGUCUAGUACCAAGUUACCAAGAACCCUGGAAGGGAGGCCAGCAGUGCACUGCCAGCUAGUAGAAAGAAUUCCAACACAAAGGAGUUAUGAAUAAUUUUCUUGUAUCCAAGACUGAUUUCAAUGGCAAAGCUGAGGGCUGCAGCCAGGUUUUGUGACAGUCAGUGCUGUCUUUAAAUUGGUAAUGUUGUCUUCUAUUUCUGGAAAAUACCACAGUAUCAGCACUGCUCCAGUUUGGCUCCAGCUGAAAUCAGUUAAUAUUAAGUCCAUACUCCAUAUACAUAGUAAUGAUACCAUAUUCCAAUGGCAUUUUACCUUCCUAGAAAAAUCUGCACCACUCUAACAAUGAUGAAAACCCUCUGCACUGUGCUUUGUCUGAUUUCUGAUUUUUCCUCAUAUAAAUAUUUAUCGAGAAAUAUUUAUUCAAGAAAGAAAGAUUCCUUUAUGCACAUUCCACUGUCUGCUCUUGAAAGCUGCUCCCUCCUAAGGUUUUGCAAGGCUCUGAAAAAACUCAACUUUCACUGUGUUUGCUACAUAUUGUUCUCACAUUUAGCUCUAAAUUAUUGUCCUGAUAAAUUUUUCUACUUCAGAAAUUGCUCAUCUUUCUUUAUUCUGUUCUCAUUUAGGCCAUUUUUACUUUGUGGUCACAACAGGAUGAAAGAAAGCAGAGUUAAUUGCAUGAUAUUAUAAUUUUUGCUGGAUCUUCAGUAGUCUGUUGAUGUGACAUUGUGAUAGCUUUGAAGUAACUUGCAUGCCAAAUUAAAAAAUGUUUCUUUCAGGGGAUGUUGACAUAGAACAUUUGUACACAAAAUGAUGCUAUACCAGAAAGUGUGCUGUUAUAUGAUGAUAGCAAAUAAAAGAAUGACAGAUUAUGCUAGAAACAGAAACAGUGAUAUGGGAGUUUUUUU